rnacentral:rRNA from 1 species
CUAUCACUUUAGGAUGGACCCGCGGUGCAUUAGUUAGUUGGUGAGGUAAAGGCUCACCAAGACCGUGAUGCAUAGCCGACCUGAGAGGGUAAUCGGCCACACUGGGACUGAGACACGGCCCAGACUCCUACGGGAGGCAGCAGUAGGGAAUCUUCCACAAUGGACGAAAGUCUGAUGGAGCAACGCCGCGUGAGUGAAGAAGGUUUUCGGAUCGUAAAACUCUGUUGUUGGAGAAGAACGUAUUUGAUAGUAACUGAUCAGGUAGUGACGGUAUCCAACCAGAAAGCCACGGCUAACUACGUGCCAGCAGCCGCGGUAAUACGUAGGUGGCAAGCGUUGUCCGGAUUUAUUGGGCGUAAAGCGAGCGCAGGCGGUUUCUUAAGUCUGAUGUGAAAGCCUUCGGCUCAACCGAAGAAGUGCAUCGGAAACUGGGAAACUUGAGUGCAGAAGAGGACAGUGGAACUCCAUGUGUAGCGGUGAAAUGCGUAGAUAUAUGGAAGAACACCAGUGGCGAAGGCGGCUGUCUGGUCUGUAACUGACGCUGAGGCUCGAAAGCAUGGGUAGCAAACAGGAUUAGAUACCCUGGUAGUCCAUGCCGUAAACGAUGAGUGCUAGGUGUUGGAGGGUUUCCGCCCUUCAGUGCCGCAGCUAACGCAUUAAGCACUCCGCCUGGAGAGUACGACCGCAAGGUUGAAACUCAAAGGAAUUGACGGGGGCCCGCACAAGCGGUGGAGCAUGUGGUUUAAUUCGAAGCAACGCGAAAAACCUUACCAGGUCUUGACAUCCUUUGACCACUCUAGAGAUAGAGCUUUCCCUUCGGGGACAAAGU